AUGUUAGCGGCGGACGGGUGAGUAACACGUGGAUAACCUACCUAUAAGACUGGGAUAACUUCGGGAAACCGGAGCUAAUACCGGAUAAUAUUUUGAACCGCAUGGUUCAAAAGUGAAAGACGGUCUUGCUGUCACUUAUAGAUGGAUCCGCGCUGCAUUAGCUAGUUGGUAAGGUAACGGCUUACCAAGGCAACGAUGCAUAGCCGACCUGAGAGGGUGAUCGGCCACACUGGAACUGAGACACGGUCCAGACUCCUACGGGAGGCAGCAGUAGGGAAUCUUCCGCAAUGGGCGACAGCCUGACGGAGCAACGCCGCGUGAGUGAUGACGGUCUUCGGAUCGUACAACCCUGUUAUUAGGGAAGAACAUAUUGUGUUAAGUAACUGUGCACAUCUUGACGGUACCUAAUCAGAAAGCCACGGCUAACUACGUGCCAGCAGCCGCGGUAAUACGUAGGUGGCAAGCGUUAUCCGGAAUUAUUGGGCGUAAAGCGCGCGUAGGCGGUUUUUUAAGUCUGAUGUGAAAGCCCACGGCUCAACCGUGGAGGGUCAUUGGAAACUGGAAAACUUGAGUGCAGAAGAGGAAAGUGGAAUUCCAUGUGUAGCGGUGAAAUGCGCAGAGAUAUGGAGGAACACCAGUGGCGAAGGCGACUUUCUGGUCUGUAACUGACGCUGAUGUGCGAAAGCGUGGGGAUCAAACAGGAUUAGAUACCCUGGUAGUCCACGCCGUAAACGAUGAGUGCUAAGUGUUAGGGGGUUUCCGCCCCUUAGUGCUGC
rnacentral:rRNA from 1 species